AGUGAACGCUGGCGGUAGGCCUAACGCAUGCAAGUCGAACGGCAGCACAGUAAGAGCUUGCUCUUACGGGUGGCGAGUGGCGGACGGGUGAGGAAUACAUCGGAAUCUACUUUUUCGUGGGGGAUAACGUAGGGAAACUUACGCUAAUACCGCAUACGACCUACGGGUGAAAGCAGGGGAUCUUCGGACCUUGCGCGAUUGAAUGAGCCGAUGUCGGAUUAGCUAGUUGGCGGGGUAAAGGCCCACCAAGGCGACGAUCCGUAGCUGGUCUGAGAGGAUGAUCAGCCACCCUGGAACUGAGACACGGUCCAGACUCCUACGGGAGGAAGCAGUGGGGAAUAUUGGACAAUGGGCGCAAGCCUGAUCCAGCCAUACCGCGUGGGUGAAGAAGGCCUUCGGGUUGUAAAGCCCUUCUGUUGGGAAAGAAAAGCAGCAGGUUAAUACCCCGCUGUUCUGACGGUACCCAAAGAAUAAGCACCGGCUAACUUCGUG
rnacentral:rRNA from 1 species